rnacentral:rRNA from 1 species
GCCUGGCGGCCGUGCCUAAUACAUAGCAAGUCGAACGCAUGUUCUUCACCGAGUGCUUGCACUCACCGAAGACAAUGAGUGGCGAACGGGUGAGUAACACGUGGGUAACCUGCCCAAAAGAGGGGGAGUAACACUUGGAAACAGGUGCUAAUACCGCAUAAUUUGUUAAACCGCAUGGUUUGAUAAUGAAAGACGGCGUAAGCUGUCACUUUUGGAUGGACCCGCGGCGUAUUAGCUAGUUGGUGAGGUAAAGGCCCACCAAGGCAAUGAUACGUAGCCGACCUGAGAGGGUGAUCGGCCACAUUGGGACUGAGACACGGCCCAAACUCCUACGGGAGGCAGCAGUAGGGAAUCUUCCACAAUGGACGAAAGUCUGAUGGAGCAACGCCGCGUGAGUGAAGAAGGUUUUCGGAUCGUAAAGCUCUGUUGUUAGAGAAGAAUGUAGGUAAGAGUAACUGUUUACCUAGUGACGGUAUCUAACCAGAAAGCCACGGCUAACUACGUG